rnacentral:rRNA from 1 species
GAGGAGGAGCCCGGAGAUGGGCAUUGGGACAAGGGCCCAGGCCCUAUGGGGCGCAGCAGGCGCGAAAUCUCUGCAAUAGGCGAAAGCUUGACAGGGUUACUCUGAGUGAUUCCCGCUAAGGGGAUCUUUUGGCACCUUUAAAAAUGGUGCAGAAUAAGGGGUGGGCAAGUCUGGUGUCAGCCGCCGCGGUAAUACCAGCACCCCGAGUGGUCGGGACGAUUAUUGGGCCUAAAGCAUCCGUAGCCGGUACUGCAAGUCUUCCGUUAGAUCCACCUGCUUAACAGUUGGGCUGCGGGGGAUACUACAGCGCUAGGAGGCGGGAGAGGCAAGCGGUACUCGAUGGGUAGGGGUAAAAUCCGUUGAUCCAUUGAAGACCACCAGUGGCGAAGGCGGCUUGCCAGAACGCGCUCGACGGUGAGGGAUGAAGGCUGGGGGAGCAAACCGGAUUAGAUACCCGGGUAGUCCCAGCUGUAAACGAUGCAGACUCGGUGAUGAGUUGGCUUAUUGCUAACUCAGUGCCGCAGGGAAGCCGUUAAGUUUGCCGCCUGGGGAGUACGGUCGCAAGACUGAAACUUAA